rnacentral:rRNA from 1 species
GAGAGUUUGAUCCUGGCUCAGGACGAACGCUGGCGGCGUGCCUAACACAUGCAAGUCGAACGGAGAUAUUUAGAAGCUUGCUUUGGAUAUCUUAGUGGCGGACGGGCGAGUAACGCGUGAGCAACCUGUCCUUCAGAGGGGGACAACGGCUGGAAACGGCCGCUAAUACCGCAUGACAUAUCCGGAUGGCAUCGUCUGGAUAUCAAAGGAGAAAUCCGCUGAAGGGUGGGCUCGCGUCCGAUUAGCUAGUUGGUAGGGUAACGGCCUACCAAGGCGACGAUCGGUAGCCGAACUGAGAGGUUGAUCGGCCGCAUUGGGACUGAGACACGGCCCAGACUCCUACGGGAGGCAGCAGUGAGGGAUAUUGGGCAAUGGGGGAAACCCUGACCCAGCAACGCCGCGUGAGGGAAGAAGGUCUUCGGAUUGUAAACCUAAGUAGUCAGGGACGAAGAAAUGACGGUACCUGAAGAGUAAGCUCCGGCUAACUACGUGCCAGCAGCCGCGGUAAUACGUAGGGAGCGAGCGUUGUCCGGAUUUACUGGGUGUAAAGGGUGCGUAGGCGGGCUGUCAAGUCAGAUGUGAAAUACCGGAGCUCAACUCCGGGGCUGCAUUUGAAACUGAUGGUCUUGAGUGAAGUAGAGGCAGGCGGAAUUCCUAGUGUAGCGGUGAAAUGCGUAGAUAUUAGGAGGAACACCAGUGGCGAAGGCGGCCUGCUGGGCUUUAACUGACGCUGAGGCACGAAAGCAUGGGGAGCAAACAGGAUUAGAUACCCUGGUAGUCCAUGCUGUAAACGAUGAUAGCUAGGUGUGGGAGGACUGACCCCUACCGUGCCGGAGUAAACACAAUAAGCUAUCCACCUGGGGAGUACGAUCGCAAGAUUGAAACUCAAAGGAAUUGACGGAGGCCCGCACAAGCAGUGGAGUAUGUGGUUUAAUUCGACGCAACGCGAAGAACCUUACCAGGUCUUGACAUCCAACUAACGAGGCAGAGAUGCGUCAGGUGCCCUUCGGGGAAAGUUGAGACAGGUGGUGCAUGGUUGUCGUCAGCUCGUGUCGUGAGAUGUUGGGUUAAGUCCCGCAACGAGCGCAACCCUUGUCCUUAGUUGCUACGGAAGAGCACUCUAAGGAGACUGCCGUUGACAAAACGGAGGAAGGUGGGGACGACGUCAAAUCAUCAUGCCCUUUAUGACCUGGGCUACACACGUACUACAAUGGCCAUUAACAAAGGGAAGCAAGACCGCGAGGUGGAGCAAAACCCCAAAAAUGGUCCCAGUUCGGAUUGCAGGCUGCAACCCGCCUGUAUGAAGUUGGAAUUGCUAGUAAUCGCGGAUCAGCAUGCCGCGGUGAAUACGUUCCCGGGCCUUGUACACACCGCCCGUCACACCAUGGGAGCCGGUAAUACCCGAAGUCAGUAGUCUAACCGCAAGGAGGACGCUGCCGAAGGUAGGAUUGGCGACUGGGGUGAAGUCGUAACAAGGUAGCCG